rnacentral:tRNA from 1 species
UCCUUGAGAGUCCAGUGGUCAAGACUCUGCACUCCCACUGCAGGGGGUGUUGGUUCGAUCCCUGGUCAAGGAA